CUAGGCGCUUUCAAAUAGCGAACACGAGUGACGACAUUGUAAAAUUGAUAUUAAACCCUUACACAUCAAAAUGAAUUAAAAAAAAAGAGAAGUGUUGAUGUGAAUAUGUUUCUGAAAUAUAGUAGAAACUAGUUAGCGCUAACGACGCAAAGAAAGAUGGUGUGACUUUUCACCACUUUACUGUACAGGAGAUAAUGAGAGAGCAUUGGCGCCAGUUCGUACCAAAAGAGAGAUGUCAAGAAUUUUACAAACCAAAUAAGUCGAGUGUCAUUUGCUCGAAUCAUUUCCUCGAGGCUGAUUUCACCACUAAAGGAUUUAAUAUUCAUGCUCAAAAAGUAUGAUAAAACUUAACAUUAAAAGUAUUGAAAUCUU